UCGCGAGUGAUUCAAAAUUGACCCCGGAUGAUAAAGAGAUCCUGCUCAGAUCAAGGGAUCAAAAGCUGCUUUGAAACCGGAGUUUACAAACCGAUUUAAAGUGUAAGUUCUAAUAAAAGUAAUUGCAUUUUUUGUAUCACAAUAGGUACCCAUUGUGAAGGACCUUCACGUGGAUAUCGGACUGGAAGACCGGUAGAAUGCUAGUUAGAGUAGUGAUUUUUAACAACCAGAAAGCGUGCGUUGGGCAUAUCGAGUUGCCUCGAGUUUUAACAACUAGUUAGUUCUUCCACCCAAAUUGCUUGUAACAUUAACAUAAAUUUGUUUGUGCUUACAAAAGAAUCCAGUGAAUAAUUAUUGGAAUAAGAAUCAUAUAAAUAACAAGCUACACGAAACAGGUUUCAGAAUUCAAUUCCACACACCUGGGAGAAGGGAGAGAAUCAGAAUCGAGUUCGGAUUCUGAUUGGACAGGAAGAUUAUCGUCGGUAGGAGGAGACCCAGUUUUCUCUUCUUCUACAGCAACAGGAGAUGAAGAUGAAGAAGAACAUGGGUUGUGAAUCGGAGUUGGUGAAGAAAUUUGAGCACGGCCAAUUCUAAUAGAGAAAGUUGAGCACUUAUUAGUGUAUACAAGUUGUUUAGGUAUUAUGGGGAACUUUUGGGACGGUGGUGUUGGUACUGAGAGUGAGAUAACGGCGGCGUUGCAGCCGCGGCCGGUGGCAUUGCCUGCCAUUUUCCUGUGUCUCUCUGUCUCUCCACUGGAUGCUUGGAGAGAUAAGUGGGAUAAUACUAGCCAGAACUUCCUUUUCUCUUCGGUCAGGGAUCAUUUCGUCCGUAAACUCCCUAGUACAUGGUACUGAUUUUGCAAGUGUAAUAAAUGUCAUGGGUAGACUUUAAAUUUUUAAACGUUGAGGAC
rnacentral:lncRNA from 1 species